AUACUUACCUGGACGGGGUCGAUGGGUGAUCAAAAAGGCCCAUGGCCUAGGUUGGCGACCUCCAUUGCACUAAGGAGGGGUGCCCGCCUAACAUCUCCCCGAGUGGGAGAGUGUAUGUCAUAAUUUGUGGUAGCGGGGGUACGCGUUCGCGCGGCCCCUA
rnacentral:snRNA from 1 species